UUUGGAUUUCAAAAUAUGACACCUUCAAACAACAUUUUCAAAUACUAAAUGAUUUCAACUGAAAAACUCAUCAACAACAAAGUUGUAUAACUUAUCAAGAUCUAUAACUUUUAUUUUAGUCAUUUUUUCAUCCGACAAAGCGAUACUAACAUUGUUUACAAAAUUUACAUAUCUCAUAUAUGGUUUCAUAAGCUUAUAAGAGAGAUAUGCAAAUUUUAUGAACAAUGUUAUUAUCACUUUGUCGGAUGAAGAAAUGACCAAAAUAAAAGUUGUAGUUCUUGAUGAGUUCUACAACUUUUGUAUUCAUAAUUUUUUCAGCUGAAAUUAUUUACUACUUCAAAAUAUUAUUUGAAGCUGCUAUUUUUUGAAAUUCAAAUUUUUACUUGAUUAAACAAAGUCAUGAGAAAAUAUGGCCAAAAUAAUUGCAGUAAGAACACAAUAACUCGAUAGAAUAUGAUUUUAGAAACAUUUAGAAAAAACAAUCAUCCAAUUUAAAGACAUGAUUUUGCCUCGUAAUGUCUUAAUCUCGAUUGAAUCGUCUCCCUCAACCACAAAAUCGGAUAUAACAAAAUUAUUAACACUAAAAUUUGAAAAUGUUGAUAUGUUCUAUUAGAAAAAAUAACGAGUUUGAGGGAUUUUUAUGUUCCGAUUAAUAUUCGUUACCGUAUUCAUUUCGAUUCGUAUUCGCUCCAUAUCUGUAUUCGAUAAUAUUCGAUUCCGUUUUCAUAUCCGGGUUUCCGAUUCCGUUUUCAUAUACUUAGUUGGUGACACAUAGUUUGGUCCUUAAUCAACUCAAGCGAACACUCCCCCUAUCGGUGUGCAACUAGCACCAUAUGCACACCACUUGCCGCCCAAGUCAAAAAAACCAUCAUUUUCAUUUGUUCAGUUUUCACAAACAACAGAGGUAACCGCUAUGUACAAUGUUUUGAAAUAAUCCAUUUGAAAGAGUGAAUGUCAUGUUGUUCAGAACCAUCGCAAAUUUUCUAAGCAUGGCUAAGUAAUAGCUAUAUUAGUAGCUCGAAUAUACCCACGUUGGUGCUUGGAUAGCACCACAUAAAUACCCAUCCUAGUGCUUCAACAGUAAGGAUAAUCAAUGUAUCAAGGUAGGAAAUGCAGCAAAUAGGUCAUUCUACCAAUACCCCAUUUUUAUAAAACAUCGCAAGCAAUUUAUAAAAUAGUAAAGCAGUUGCAAAAAUAUAGGAUUCAACAUGAUCGAAGGAGGAAUUGAAUAGGACUUGCCUUGCUCAGUUGGUUCCUCAAAUAACUCUUGGUCCUGCACACUCUCGUCAACGGCAACAAUCGAUUCGGCCUCUAUUUAAAUUUAAACGUACAUCCAAAUGAACAUCCAAUAAAACUCCAAGAUAAAAUAUGAUGCAUGGUGCAUGAACGUGUUCAGUGUAUAGAGGGUGAUUUAAUAUAAAUUUAGGAGAAAGAAUCGCCUAUAUCCGAUGUUGUAUGUGCAAGUUAUCGUGUUUCUAAUAUUUAAAGUACGGUAAAUACGAAGUUUACUAUUCAAAUUUAAAUUAGUGAAAAUUUUCACAACAGUGCUUAUAGUUUUGAGUGUACAGUCUUAAAGAGAACAAUAUUAUGAAUCUAACAAAUUUUGGUUCACCUCAAUCGGAGUUAAAAUGAAUUCUCUAUGAUUUUUCCAAAGUUUCAGCAUUUUAUAGUGCAUAAAUAAUUACCAGAAAUCCUUUUCUCAGAUUUAAUAACUUGUUUAUAAAAGAAACUAAAGCGCACUGUUCGUAACACGUUUUCCUACAGGGAAGGCGUAUUCCUAUGUUACACAAUUACUUUAAGCUGUGGGGUCCAUAUGUCAUUGACCCAGUAUUUUGUAGUAUAUACCCUAGAGUUUUUAUUAUUUGCAAACAGGUCCCUGUCUUCUUCCUCAGUACGGGAGAACGAAGGGGAGCUUGGGGGCGGCUGGGAUGGUUCGGGAAAGGGCCGGGGAGACUAGGGGAGGUUGUAGGGAAUCCUCGCGCACACUAUAGAGGUGGCGGCACGGCCGGGGGAGGUUAAAGACGGCGCGCCAUGGUAGGCGGCGGCAAUGGUUCGGGAUGAUGGCGGCCGGCGGCUAUGGCGAACGGGCGCGAUUAAAGUACAGGGAAGCACCUAAGGACUAUGAGGAGGUUUUGGGCGGAGGCGGUCCGAGGUGGCAUGGCGACGAGCUCCCGAGGCGGUUGGCGGUGGCAAUGGUGGCAGCGGUUCUCCGGUCGAGGGGUCCUAAAAGAGAUUGCGGAAAUGGGUUUAAGGAGGUCCUAUGAGCCUGAUGGCGCGAGGAAUCGAGAGGAAACUCACCGAGGCGACGGCUCGGUGUGGGUUCGGCGGCGGCACUCUGUUUGGCCGGCGGGGGGCGCGACGGUCGCGCUGCCAUUCCCGGCGAACCAGAGGGUUUCGGUCUUCGGCUUUGGGUGUGGAGGUUGAGAGUGGUGUGGAGAGUUAGCUGGCGCGAGGGUUUGAUUUAUAGGCGAGGGAGGAGCGAGAGGCAAACGCGGGGUGUUGUCGCGAAGUGCUCGGCCUCUCUCGCGCUCGCAGGCGGUGGUCGGCGGGGAACACAGCUUGUAGCAGGCGCCGGCUUUGCGCAGGGAUAUCAGAGGGGGUGCAGGGUUAGUCAGAGGGAGCCAGGGGCGGUCGGUCUCGCCUUGUCGCUUUGGGCGUCGGCUUUGGCAGGGGGCGGCGGCAUUGGGUUGGCCACGGCGGCUGCGGUGGUCGGCGCCUGGGCGCGGCAGGGAAGUGGCAGGGACGGCGUCGGCUUUGUGUAGCCUUGUCACAGCGGGAUUCGCGGGCAGAGGGUGGCGCAGGGUCGCGUCGCGUCGUUGCUCGGGCAGAGAGAGAGGGGGAGAGCAAGAGAGCGGCAGCUCCGGGUUGGGCGAGCCGGCGAGAGACGCGGCGAAGGCAGCGGUAGGGCCUCGGGCAGGGGCGCACCAGCCUUGCCUCAGCUUUGCCAGCGGGAAUCGCGGGUAGAUGUUGCUUGGUCGGCUUGGAAACGAUGACCUCCAUCUAGCACGCUAGGCGCCCGAUGAAUUGCCUGAAAGGAAUAGAUGGAGAGAAGGGAGAAAGACAGAGAGCAGGGAUAAGGAGAUGGUGGCUGGCAGGUGGGGCCAAUGGUCCUUAGGUCCACUGAUCAGAGAGAUAACGGGAGAAGCGAUGAGGUGAGGGGAUUUUUCUCUAGGAAUUUCCAAGAAGGCUGAGAGUUUGAUUAAUUUUUGGAUAUGCUACUGUGCUCAAAAGCUUGUGCAAAAAUUUCUGGAGGUUAGUCUGGUCAAGACCUCCACUUGGUAAAUUUUUGGGAUUUUUCUCAAGUGCAGUUUAUUUUUGAAAAUUCAAACAAGUUCACUGGUUUUAUUUUAAUUUGAAUCAAAUUUUGGAUGCUUUCAUCUUUUUAAUUGAGAUGCAAAACUUUGUGAGAUUUGUGAAAGGUUAUUUCAAGUCUCAACUACUUAUUUUAAUUAGUUUCUUUUUGUUUAUAUUUAUUGCAUGCAAAUGAGUUAUGAGAUGUACGGAAAAUCCAAGAACACCAAAAUCAACUUCAAAAGAAAGGACAAGAUCAAAGUCAAAAAUUUGCUAAGUUUUAUUUUUCUUAAUUUCUUUUUUUUUUGCUUCAAAGAAUUCCUAGUAUGUUACAAGCCUACCCCUUAAAAUGAAUCUCGUCCCCGAGAUUCGGGUAAGGAGAAGAAGUAAGGUGUACUAAAUCUACCUUCGAAUCUGACCUUAGUUCUUCUCUCGAACUAUAUAUUGAACCGGUUGAUUCACCAAGUGACAAUACAAUUGGUGCACCUAUAAUAAUCAUUCACAACAAGGACUCGAUUCUAGGACCUAUCUUGUCACUGUGCUUUGUGAUAACUCGCUUCGGUUCAAUGGGCUGCAUAACUAUACCGCCAAUUGCUCCAGGCCCAGCACGCUUAACCUUGGAGUUUUUUAGAGUUCGGCUUCCGGAAAAGAAGUUGCAACUUGUUGAUAUGAGUAUUCUAUUAAUCCUAUUAAGCCCUAGGCCGGGAUGUUACAAAAAGUGACGUGGUGAAGUAGAAGUAGACUUGGAGAAGGUCUUGAUUUGGUCCCUAAUCAACUUCUUUGAUCAUCCAUGCAUUCGCUACGCUCGGUUUCUUUUCCUUCGCCCAAGCAAGUAUCUCUGCAAACGAAAACACACAAAACCCAUUGUGUAGUAGCGUUUGUUCAAAUAUAUAACAAGUAAACCUAAUGUAGAACAUAUGCACUUUUGGUUGAUUAAUACAUAAGGUAGUCAUGGUUAUAUCCGAGCUAGUUGUGUCCUCAUCAUCCUCCCCUUCUUGAUUGGAAACCGUCCUCGGUUUCACCUUGUCAUGGAGCGUAUUAUUAAACUUAUCUUUAUCUAGCACAACAUCCGGUGAUGAACAUUUCUUAAUGGCCAUAUAGUUGGAUCCUGAAAUCUUUGUAGUCGAAACCACAACACUUCCCUUCUUGCAAACCAACCUGUAACUCAUUUAAACAACUAGAGGAACUAGAUAGAGAAUUACGUGUACGCAUGCGGUCCUCUAGACAAUUCAUUUUAUCAUGAAAAGGAGGUAUAGUCAAAUUCGAAAAUAUUUACUCGAUGCGCAUUAUAUUCUCCUUUACUAUCAUAAUUGCCAAUAACAUGAAAAAUCAUGUCAUAAGGGCAUGGUAAUUCAAAUCUAGCAAAUAAUUUCUUCUCUAAAUAGUUGAGUGGAAAAAGAUCAUCAAAUUGAAUAUAUCCCCAAGUGUUUAAAGAAGAUAGUAAUUUAAGCUCUUCAUUCUCGUUAGCAAUGUGAAUAACAUGUUUAAACUCAACACAUGGUGGCUCUACUAUAGAACUAACAUGUUCAUUCACUGGUUGUGACAUGGAUAUAAGUGAAGCAUCAUACAACUCUUCUUUAUCACAAGAAUCAUCAAGCAAAUUGUUUUGUGACAAAGGUAUUUCAACAAUUAUUUCCACUAUGGGUUUCUUUAACGUAGCAUAAGUAGUGGACAUAGUUGGCACAUCAUAAAUAUGCAUACCUUGAGUAGUUGUAGUAUAAUUAUCAUUACCUUUUUUUUCUCAUCUUCAGAAAUUACAGGCGCUUGGUCAAUUGAACAUUCUUCAAGCAUGCAUGGAGCUAUAGAUAGGGCUUUUUCCUCUUCGUCUUUCUUCUCUUCCUUCUCACCAUCUUCAAUGUCGGAGGUGCUGUUGUAGCCAUCUUCUGUAGCAACGUAUGCCCGUUGACUAGGGCAAUCCUUCUGCACAUGGCCAAAUCCAUGGCAGCGGUGGCACUGAAUUCUGGGUGUGCGUCCCAUCGAAGCGACAGAUGAGGCACUCUUGGUGGAUACCUGCGAAAAACCUUUACCUGAAUCUGCAGGUCAUGGGGAAGGUGGUUUUGGUGCUACAGAAACUCCAGACUCAACUGGUCACUUGCUUGUUGGUGGGGGUGCCCAAAAAGAGAUGGGCUUGGGAAGCCCCAAAGAUGGCUUCACCCGCGGUGUGUAUGUGCUCGCCUUGUUCUUGACCUAUUGAUCACGCCCCUACAAUUCCUUCUCUGCAAGCAUAGCAAGCUGAAACAACUGGUUGACAGUGUUAAAUUCCUUAUUAUCAACUAUGUCCUGAAUUUCACGCCUCAAUCCCAAGUAAAAUCGACAAAUAGAAUCCUCGGUUCCCUCCACUAUGCUACAUCGCAUCAAUCCCUUUUGUAGCUCACCAUAGUAAUCCUGUACAGAUUUAUCCCCUUGUUCUAAACGUAUCAGUUUCUGGCGUAAAUCUCAAUGAUAAGAUGGAGAAACAAAUUUAUCGCGCAUAGCUACCUUAAGUUCUUCCCACGUAGUAGGUAAAGCACCCUCUGCAGCUAACCCAGUCCACCAAAUGAUAGAGAAAAUCCUUGAACUUACUACUAGGAAUUCUAUGUUACUCAGGCACAAGGUGGGCACUAAAUGUAAUGCCCCAGGGAAUAUUAGCAUAAACACGCAAAAGUUUAAUUUUUAAACCGUUAUUUGAAUAGGCGAUCAGGAACCGUGGAUGAGUAGAGCUCGAGGAGUAGUGCAAAAUAGACUACAAGUUUAUAGAAAUCGGAGACCGAGCAAAGUCCCCGGGAUUGAAACGAUGUGGGCCGUUGAUCUCCUUUUUAGUCUCUUUAUAAUAAAAAAAAGAAAUAAAAGGGGAACGCUCCUGCAGCCAACCCUAGCCGCCACCACGCCUUCCGUCCUGCGCUCUUGCCGCUGCCGCUGUUGACCCGGUUGCUGCCGCCGUAUUUGCGCCGCCGCCAUGGCCAUACCCGGAGGCCGCAGCCGUCGUCAUCCAUCACAACCGGCGUUUUCUUUCCGUUUUCCUUCUUCCCGAGAGAAGGGUACCGAGAGGGUGUACAGGAGGAAGAAGGAAAGGAAAAGCAGAGCAACGUUGAGGAAUUUCAGCGAUUUCGCAAAUUAGGGAAAUUUGUCGCAAGGUAGUGCUCCUCCACUGCAAAGGAAAUUUCUCUUUAGUCCCUAGAAGUAUAAGAUUCAAAUAGAAUUUGAUUCGAUAGCUGCUCGUGCAAUUUUUGUGGUGCUUGAAUAUAGGCUGAAACCGUAUUUUCAAAUAUGGUAUUAAACCAUCAGGAAUCAGGUUAGUUGUCCUAAAUAAAGUUUGUAGUCAUCGUUGAUAUCUUUCUAACGGCACUGGUUUCACUCAAUUCCGAUAAACGGUUUGGGAGAAACAAAAAAAACAGUACUUCUGACCGGGUCCGGAAAUCAGGACAGCGAUUCGUUUUUCUUAAUCUGGGAUUUACAGAGGCAUAAUCUGAUUUUCCUCCCAACAUGAAAGUUGUAGAGAAUUUUGUCUAGAUGUCCAAAGUUAUAUUAUUUGCUAGAUUCCGUUAGACGGUUUGCGAGUUACGCAUAAAAUAGUAAGGGAACUGCUAUAGGUUAUUUAAUACAAAUCGGUAAAAAAGUCUAUAUGUUCGAGGUUAUCGAUUUUAGUAAAUAUCCCUUAUAACUGCCUGUCGUGGAUAUCCGUAUUUUUAGGGGAGACUCUGCCGAAAUUUCUAAUAAUUUUGGGACUUAAUUUUUGACUGUAUUUUGGUGUGGCAUUCUAGGUAUGUGGUUACCUGGGGUGUUACAGUUGGUAUCUAAGCGGGCAGUAGGUCCAUGGUAAGUGACUGGGUAAUGUAAAUAUAAAUCAACAUAAAAUUUUGAACGAGAGUUCCUAACCAAUUAAAAAAAAUUUCUCUUAGGAUAGAAAAUAGUAAGAGUAUAACUUGGGUUAGAUACAAACAUCUAAAACUUGACACACUGGUGCACAAUAGGAUGGGGUGCAUGGGUCAUUCCUAGCAUUUAUGUUUUUUCUACAUAUAUAUGUGUAUGAUUGUGUUUCUUUGCAUGCUAUUGUCUAACCUAUUGUUAAACUAAUGACGUGUAAAUGCUUGUGUUUGAUAUAGCUAUGCCGCCUCGGAUAGCCAAUCGAGGCCGUGGGAGAGGCGGUGGUAGAGGUCGUGGUAGGGGCCACCAUAAUGAAGAAGUUGAGAAUAAUCAUGAUAAUGAAGACGUUGGGAACAAUUCGAUUGCUGAAUCCACUAUUCCUAAUCGUGGAGGUUGUUGGCGGUUGUUAAAUGCCGAUUCUAUACCGCCAACAUCUGCAUAAAGUUCGGAUAAUAAAACAUCCAACAUAGUGAUAGGUGCUUAAUCUCACAUAUUCCACAAGUGUUGGUGUAUAUUUGUAUGCAGAUGAUAAACCCUGAAGUUGGGAGGAAAAUCAGACAAAGUGAGGAGAAUUAUGUAUCCAUGCAAGGAGGGGUUAUGAACUUCAUCGAAACAUCAGCAAGGAGGGGUUAUGAACUUCAUCGAAACAUCAGUGAAUCAACUCAAAACUCCGAGAAAUGGAUAAAGGAGGUCCAGGGGAGAAGAUGGGCCAAGGGCUAGACCAGGAGGGCCUAGCCUAGGUUCGGCCGAACCCCCCUGAUCACCGUUGAUCCUGGGGUUUGGCGUGGACGCUCCAGAUCACUCCCCAAUGACGGUUGCGGGGCAGUUCAGACAUUACCCCUUCGCCAACCGUCAUACCUAACUCUAUAUAAAGGCUUCACUCCCUCAUUUCACACACACACUUUCAAGCUUGACCUGAAUUAUAAGAGGCUCUAUUGUACUAUAUUGUAUAUUAGAAUAGGAAGAGAGUAGAGUAGGAGUCAGAAGAAUUCCGGAGUUGUCGGUAAUCUUCUCCUAUUUCUUUUAUUUUGU